UCUCAGUUCGGACUGUAGGCUGCAACUCGCCUACACGAAGUCGGAAUCGCUAGUAAUCGCGGAUCAGCAUGCCGGCGGUGAAUACGUUCCCGGGCCUUGUACACACCGCCCGUCACACCAUGGGGAGUUUGUAACGCCCAAAGUCGGUGGCCUAACCUUUAUGGAGGGGAGCCGCCUAAGGCGGGACAGAUGACUGGGGUGAAGUCGUAACAAGGUAAC
rnacentral:rRNA from 1 species